rnacentral:rRNA from 1 species
UACGGAAGGCAGCAGUGGGGAAUAUUGCACAAUGGGCGCAAGCCUGAUGCAGCCAUGCCGCGUGUAUGAAGAAGGCCUUCGGGUUGUAAAGUACUUUCAGUCGUGAGGAAGGUGUUAAGGUUAAUAACCUUAGCAAUUGACGUUAGCGACAGAAGAAGCACCGGCUAACUCCGUGCCAGCAGCCGCGGUAAUACGGAGGGUGCGAGCGUUAAUCGGAAUUACUGGGCGUAAAGGGCACGCAGGCGGUUAAUUAAGUUGGAUGUGAAAUCCCCGGGCUUAACCUGGGAAUGGCAUUCAAGACUGGUUAGCUAGAGUCUUGUAGAGGGGGUAGAAUUCCAUGUGUAGCGGUGAAAUGCGUAGAGAUGUGGAGGAAUACCGGUGGCGAAGGCGGCCCCUGGACAAAGACUGACGCUCAUGUGCGAAAGCUGGGGGAGCAAACAGGGAUUAGAUACC